rnacentral:rRNA from 1 species
CAGCCGCCGCGGGAAUACGAAGGGUGCAAGCGUUAAUCGGAAUUACUGGGCGUAAAGCGUGCGUAGGCGGUUUGUUAAGUCUGUUGUGAAAUCCCCGGGCUCAACCUGGGAAUGGCAGUGGAUACUGGCAAGCUAGAGUGUGUCAGAGGAUGGUGGAAUUCCCGGUGUAGCGGUGAAAUGCGUAGAGAUCGGGAGGAACAUCAGUGGCGAAGGCGGCCAUCUGGGACAACACUGACGCUGAGGCACGAAAGCGUGGGGAGCAAACAGGAUUAGAUACCCCCGUAGUCCCUGUCUCUUAUAA